UUAACACUGGCUUCCGUGGAUUACUUUGUCGGGCGGCUGAUGAAGAGCGUAACAAGACGCGAAAGAGGUGGUGACGUGUAGACCAUGAUCCACUCGUACUCUAACGGGCAAUCUGUUAUGACUCUCCUUUGGGAGUCUUAACAUCUCUGCGUGAGGUUGG
rnacentral:rRNA from 1 species